rnacentral:rRNA from 1 species
UACGAAGGGGGCUAGCGUUGCUCGGAAUCACUGGGCGUAAAGCGCACGUAGGCGGACUCUUAAGUCGGGGGUGAAAUCCUGGAGCUCAACUCCAGAACUGCCUUCGAUACUGGGAGUCUUGAGUUCGGGAGAGGUGAGUGGAACUGCGAGUGUAGAGGUGAAAUUCGUAGAUAUUCGCAAGAACACCAGUGGCGAAGGCGGCUCACUGGCCCGGUACUGACGCUGAGGCACGAAGGUCAGGGGAGCAAACGGG